GAAGGGAAAGGCUACCCACUCCAGUAUUCUGGCCUGGAGAAUUCCACGCAUUGUGUAGUCCAUGGGGUCACCAAGAGUUGGACAUGACUUAGCAACGUUCACUUUCACUUUCUGACAUUUGUCUCUAAAGUCCGUGUUCUUAACAACUUCACUGUAGUGCAUCUGGGAUGUCCGUUACAGUGUACUUGAUUGAAUACAGAUUCCUUCAGUCACUGAGAGCACGAAAUCUUAGAGGGAGAAAGAAAUUCAAAUGUGUUCUCCACCACUUUUUAUUUCUUCUCACGUCCAAUUUGAAAGCUUCCAGCUUGCCAGGAAGUUAACAAACGUGUGUCACCUCCGAUCCCUGCUGGAUAUCUACCAGGUUGGUCUUAGGAUGGGCAUGUAAGGAGGAUAUUACUAGAGACAGCAAAAGGAGUGUGGGGCNNNNNNNNNNNNNNNNNGGAGAAGUGGAGGAGGUUUUAGGCUUGCUGCCUUUUCUCAAGUGUCAAUUUAGAGCAGCCUUGGAGCAGGUUCAAUACCAUUAGUUAAGGAAGAUGACAGUGCACAUUUUGUUUCUGCAGAUUUACUUAGCCUUCAAUUUUUUCCCCUUCUAAUCUGUUAUGGAUUGCUCGGUAAGUCUCAUAAAAAAAUCCGUGAUACUUCCUACCAGAUACAAGGUAAAAGAUCUAAGUCUCCAUGAAAAAUCUCUAUAAGUUGACAGAAUUUCAUCAGGGAAUGAAGGUACCUCAUCACAGAAAGGUUUGUUUCAGUAUUAUACAUUCUACUUUCUCUUUUAGUGGCCAGUGUAGCAAUAUAUUUAGUUUAUUGCCAACUGGUCCUUUCAUUUUGAUCUAUGUACUUGGAUUUCUCUUGUCUGAGGUUAAUGAGAAUCACCAACCAAAAGAAUGAGUCUCACAGGCACUUUCUAUCAAGCUGAGAAACCCGGAAAAUGGUUUAGGUAUUAGAACAGAGAAAUUAGAAAUUAUUUGGAUUUUUUUAUGAAGGUCAAAAAUUUAUAAAUGGUGGAAAGCAAAUUUUGUACUACCUGAGACAUAUUUAUUUUGGAUUUAUAAAUUUAUGAAAUUGAAAUUGUUCUGAGGUGCUUAAGGUGCAUCAAUAAUUUUCUAUGCAAGCACACAGCACAGUAAUUUAGUCCUGAUAUAGUUUCUAANNNNNNNNNNNNNNNNNNNNNNNNNUUGUAAUUCUGUAUAAAUGAGGAGAUAAAAAAACAUUUUACCCCAUCUAUAACCUCUAAGACAUAAUGGCAGUGAAAAGAGAAGAGAAAAGACGGAGAGACAGGAAGGAUAAUCCAAAAACUCUGGAUUUUUUCUAUGGCUUCAAUAAAAUAAGUCAGGCUUUCAAAGAUCUGACCUUUGAAAAUGGUUUAGCUUGAUUCCAGGGGGAUGUUGGGAGGAUUAACUAGCUGAAUCUUACAGAGAGAUUUCAUGAUUUCUUCUGUGUUAUUUAUUCUUUGGUUUACCAGUUAAAUUCUUUUUUAAUUUUAUCAUAUUUGGAGAAAUGCCAGAAACAUGAUAAAAAAUUCAAUAAACAUGGGUUCCAAGUAAAAUCACAAGCUAUUGUUUGAGGAGGAAAAAUUGAGGUCGUACUAGAAGUGUAGGCGUAAUUGUGUGUAUAUGUGUACAUGCUGUUCUUUAGAUAACCUAGUUGUAGUCCUCUACUUCAAAGGGGAAGAAACUGAGAUUCAGAUUGACUUUUUCAAUAUCAAGCAGCUGAUUGAUAGUGUUGACAGCUUUCCUAUCGUUAAGAAUUAGAGAUUCUAGAUCCCAUGUACCUGAUCAUCUUUGACUUUAUAAUAUGAGGAUGCCGUUAAGGUUUGGAAGCUGAGUGGAGGU
ensembl:lncRNA